UGCGCGACAAGCUAGUGCAGC
rnacentral:misc_RNA from 1 species